rnacentral:rRNA from 1 species
GAUGAACGCUGGCGGUAUGCCUAACACAUGCAAGUCGAACGGGUGUCUUCGGACAUUAGUGGCGGACGGGUGAGUAACGCGUGAGAAUCUGCCUUCAGGAUGGGGACAACAAUUGGAAACGAUUGCUAAUACCCGAUAUGACGAAAGUUGAAAGAUUUAUCGCCUGGAGAUGAGCUCGCGUCAGAUUAGCUAGAUGGUGUGGUAACGGCGCACCAUGGCGACGAUCUGUAGCUGGUCUGAGAGGAUGAGCAGCCACACUGGGACUGAGACACGGCCCAGACUCCUACGGGAGGCAGCAGUGGGGAAUUUUCCGCAAUGGGCGCAAGCCUGACGGAGCAAUACCGCGUGAGGGAGGAAGGCUCUUGGGUCGUAAACCUCUUUUCUCAGGGAAGAACAAAAUGACGGUACCUGAGGAAUCAGCAUCGGCUAACUCCGUGCCAGCAGCCGCGGUAAUACGGAGGAUGCAAGCGUUAUCCGGAAUGAUUGGGCGUAAAGCGUCCGUAGGUGGUUAUGUAAGUCUGUGGUUAAAGCGUGGGGCUCAACCCCAUAAGGGCCAUGGAAACUACAAGACUUGAGUAAAGUAGGGGUAGAGGGAAUUCCCAGUGUAGCGGUGAAAUGCGUAGAGAUUGGGAAGAACACCGGUGGCGAAAGCGCUCUACUGGACUUAAACUGACACUGACGGACGAAAGCUAGGGGAGCGAAAGGGAUUAGAUACCCCUGUAGUCCUAGCCGUAAACGAUGGAUACUAUGUGUUGCCCCG